ensembl:lncRNA
CACCCUGCCUUGUUCUAUUACCAAUUGUUCCCUUUGCUCAGGUGUCCUUCUCCAAGCAUGCUUCUGCCAGAGGAACCACAGGCCACAGAAGUGUACACUUCACCGGUACAGUCACACACAAAGAAGAGAAACUCUGCCAUGACCAGAUGCAGUCAAUCAAGAUGCUGAGCAGUUUUCAUUACUCAAUAGUUCCCAAGCGAGGUUAACAUACAAUCUCCCCUCUCCUACCUCAUCCUUUUGAAAUAAAAUUGUGAUGACUUAUGGGACAAGAAGCAGCCUACAGAGAACCAAAAGGACAAUGUAGAAUUGAGGAAAUUGUUACUCCUUUUUUGCUGUGAUUUCCAUGAAAUUAUUCAUGAAUCUUUUUUUUUUCCUAGGGGGAGUGACCAUAAAUAUCAUCUGUAAUGCAUCUUCAUUAGUAGCUUUCAUCUCUGACAGGGCCUGUGUCUUUUGUUGGGAGCUAAAUGUUGCUGGUAGAAAUGCGAGCCCACGUCUUGGGUGUACAGCAUUUGUGUAAAAUAUGAACUCUAAUGUGUAGAAUUUGCAGGUCGCUGAAGUGUCACAGUCUACUGAAACGGUCUGGAAUCAAUAAGUGGAGGUGACGGCCCCCUAAGAAAAUCAGAAGAGACAUGAGCACAUUGAAGAUCUAAAGGAGAACAAAGUGUUUUCAGUUACACACCAGCAGGACUUCCCUCUUUGCACACCCCUGGAGUCUCUUCCAAGUGGAAAAUCACACUCUGUCCUUCGCUGGAGAGCAAAAAGGGAAGGCCAGUAAAACAAGGCCCCUCCUGGACUUGGCCAGCCCCUGCCCCCAUCCCCUGCUGCCCCAACUAAGAUCCUGGGCCAACGAGAUAAAUGGAAGGUUCAGCUCUUGCAGCUGACACGGGUGGGGGGCAGAAGCCCACUCUGGGCACUUCCAGCCGACACUGACCUUUCAGUCAUGGAAACAUUCCCCAGACCGACGCUAAUCGGGGGCACAUCUGGCGUUUGGACUGCAUCCAGAUGGGGGUUGUGUUAGUCGAGUCAGCACGAUAACCCACUGGGGAGGCAGGAGAGGGGAGAGUGCAAGGCUGCUGAGAGCAAUCAACAUCUUUGGCUGGGUAUGUGAGACGUGGCUGUGCUGUAGCUGGUGAGUCAUAGAAUAGAGACCACCUAAUCCCUGUCCACCCACUCUCCCUACCCCCACCAAGAGAGGAGAAAACUGGAGAGACCCAGAAAGCCAGAGAAACUUCCCCAAGGCUCCACAACUGGCCAGGGCAGUCUCAAAUCCCAGUGUCCCAAAUCACAUAAUCAUGCACUUCCCAUGUUUCUGCACUCCCUCAAAGUGUAGUGUAGUGCUCAUUAUCUCAAGAUAAUAUGUGGGCUAAGGUGAUGAAAAGAAUCCGGUUGUUUCUUCUCUGCUAACUCCCUGUGAUUUGCAAACGUAUAGGACAAUUUUCCAAGGCAAGGACAAAGCCCUUGGUAUCCAUCCCCCAUGCCUGUCCUCCCACUCUAAUUCUUCCAUUGUAGUUUCUUUCUUGGAUGCGGAAGGAGGGGCGGCCCUUCCUGACUGGUUCCCGGACUUCUAUCAGAAAUGAACACAACACUUUAUCUCUCAUCCCCAGGACAAGAGACGGCAAUUGGGAACAAGACCUCAUGGUAUUGAAGGUCCAGCCACACAGUUAGGACUGACGAAGGAUCUUGGCCAGCUCUCAGUGUCUGCCUUUACAAAGCCUGACACCUGUUGCAGCCAUGAAGAGUACUGCUAAGGAGGUAAUUAAGCAAACGAAAGCCGGGAUAAAAGGGAUUAUGUCCCCACCUACCCACACAGAAGGUCGUCUCCAGCUGUCUGAAGGAAGUUCUUUCCACGCCCUGGAGUGUACUCCCCACUCGUAGGCACUGCGUUUCAUCUACCCAGUGAUCCUUUCCUCUAUAAACCUCCAGGCACAGAUAAUUAUGGAAAUCAGGAAUCUCAUCCACCUGCUCAAAUCACAAAGCAAUUAGCAAGAUCUUCUAAUAUAAAAACUGCAGAGAUCUAUUCAUCCUUCUUCCUUUGUUGGUUACAAAUGUGAAAAGAAACAGGGAAAUAACCAAGGUAAAAACAAGACCCUAUCAAUGGUCAGUUUCCCAAAGUAAGUUCCAGUUCCUCCAGUACCUAACCACUGUGCAGAACUCUCAAGCACUGUACUUUUCCUUCUACAUCCAGCCUCUAUGCAAAGGGCAACUGUCAUCCACCAUCUAGUCAAUUUUGUCCUCUUCUGGAACAAUCAGAAAGGAAAACUACCUUCACUCCAAAUCAAGAUAUUUCACUCCUACCCACCUGAAGAUCACCCCCACCCCUAACCCCUCAUUUCCAUUGUCCUAUCUGAGAAAUAGCCUUUAUCCACCCCUGAUGGGCAAGACGGUUGUCACUGAGCCAGAAGAAUGAUUCUCCUCCUCCCUUUAGGGGACAGCUUAUCAGUUUCGCCCUCCUCGGAAGGAUUGUGUGACACUUCACAAGCUCUCCAGGUCUCUGAGCAGGAGCUCACAGACACCAUCACUCUAUCUAGAGCAAGUCAGGGUCUCUGCUGGUGCCAAUCCUUUUUCCCCCUCGAUGAUUUGGUACAAAGCCAUUGCAUGUUCCAUGCCAAACCAGUAAUUCACAACACUCAUCAAAAUCUGUCUCCAUCACCUGACUCAGCAUUCCUGCUUUCUGAGUAUAGCCAGCCUCCCUAACACCCUGACAUCCUAGCCUCAGCUUCACUAUUUACAUCACAUGAGACCUUUGGGCUUAGAAAGUCCAAUUCCCUUUGGAUGAAGUAUGCAGAUGAUUCAUCCUCUCUGAGAAGUCUGCUCACCCUGGGCCUUGAUAUCUAUGCCAAAACGCUUCUGAGAUGGCUCUCAGAGAGGACAGAGUGGAGAAGUCCUGUUGCUGUGGAAACCAGUGUGCCAGUUUCCAAAUAAGAGAGACUAGCUG